rnacentral:rRNA from 1 species
UGGAAUGUGCUUCUGUUCGGAAUACCUGGGAAACUAGGCUAAUACCGGAUACGCCUUUGGGGAAAGGUUACUGCCCGGAAGAUCGGCCCGCGUCUGAUUAGCUAGUUGGUGGGGUAACGGCCUACCAAGGCGACGAUCAGUAGCUGUCUGAGAGGAUGAUCAGCCACACUGGGACUGAGACACGGCCCAGACUCUACGGGAGGCAGCAGUGGGGAAUAUUGGACAAUGGGCGCAAGCCUGAUCCAGCCAUGCCGCGUGAGUGAUGAAGGCCUUAGGGUUGUAAAGCUCUUUUAUCCGGGACGAUAAUGACGGUACCGGAGGAAUAAGCCCCGGCUAACUUCGUGCCAGCAGCCGCGGUAAUACGAAGGGGGCUAGCGUUGCUCGGAAUCACUGGGCGUAAAGGGCGCGUAGGCGGCGUUUUAAGUCGGGGGUGAAAGCCUGUGGCUCAACCACAGAAUGGCCUUCGAUACUGGGACGCUUGAGUAUGGUAGAGGUUGGUGGAACUGCGAGUGUAGAGGUGAAAUUCGUAGAUAUUCGCAAGAACACCGGUGGCGAAGGCGGCCAACUGGACCAUUACUGACGCUGAGGCGCGAAAGCGUGGGGAGCAAACAGGAUUAGAUACCCUGGUAUCCACCCGUAAACGAUGAAUGCC